rnacentral:lncRNA from 1 species
CCGGGAGUUACACACCAACGAAUUUCUAAAGAAAGCCUAACAAAAAGGCAAAUAAAGCAAGAGGAUUCUCACAGACUCACUGCUGCAGGGCUUUAAAAUCUCAGCCUCAUCUAUUGAACACUAGCCCAGCUUCCCUCAACCCCUCAAAGCAGCAAGAUUUAUGCAAGCCUCCUGUGACAGCAGAGCUUCUGUCCCAUCAGUAGCCUUAUCAAAUCUGUCCUAUAGCCCCAUCAGACCUGAGCGAACACCUGCUUUCCAGGUGCAAGACCAUAGAGGCUGAGAAGGAAGAGAAGUCAGCAACAGAAAUAACCUCACUAACAGCAAGACCCCCAGAGAAGCUAAAAACAUUCCAGGCAGGGCUCACAACAGCUCUCAGAGCAGAAUUCCCAAGGCAUCACUUAUGGUUUCUACAAGAGCUUUUGCCUUGCUGUUCCUUCCCCUACAUGCGACCUUUCAGCCCCAGUGAGUCCAGAGGCUUUCUGCAGAGAGAACUGAGUCAGACUGUGAAGAAGAGGCUUUGGGCAGCUAAGAGUUCCAUGUGGAACUCCACUUUGUGAAGACAAGCUUAGUUAAAACAAGAUGAUGCAUUUGUGGAGUCACUUAACUGGGCACACAAAAACUGCAAAUGUCUCAGCAGCUCCAAAGCAGAGGAAGGAUGAAGGGUGGCUGCCAACCCCACUGCUUUGUGGAAGUUCCACACCUUGCUGAGGACACCUCAUGCCUCUCAUAGGAUCCUGACCUGCUGACGUACAGACAGAAUAUGUGAGAAAUACAGGAAUGAUAUAUCCCAGAUCAAACUGCUUCUUAAGCUCGUGUUAUGGAAGAAAAAGACAUAUGCAACAUAAUGGCAGCUCACUGCAGCUGAAGUAAUAUAAGUCAUAAGACCCCCAUUUCAAGAGGGUCCUGCUGCAUACCCAGAAGGAAGGAAUACUGCACAGAGAAGCUAAGAGGAAUUUAAACAGACAGACCUUGCUGGACUUUCCUACUCAGUCUAUUAACAUUAGAUCAUACCCUUUCUGCCCAGUUAUUUUUCUCCAUGGCUGUCCGUACUUCAUUGAACCCAAGCCUAAAAAUGGGCAGUUUCCCCGUAUCUUUGGGUCUUUAUUCUGAAGGCUCCGUGUAAAACUGUAAUCAAAUAAAUCUGUAUACCUUUUC